GCUGUGUGCUUUCCCCAGGGUGGAUGGUGGAGCAUCUUCAUGGACUAGAUUGAAGAAUUCAAAGAAGCACGUAUUCAGUGUCCUGCUUUGUGCCUUGGUUCCUCCUGUGCCACUUCUCUGCCUGAGCAUCCUGUUUUGUCUCGGGAGCACCUUUUCUGUUUGAGCCAGCUCCCACGGAGUGCAGUGCAGACACCCACUGUGAACACCCACUCAGCUCCCCUGGGCCUUUCACCCACGACUUGCCCAGAGGUCUUGCUC
rnacentral:lncRNA from 1 species